CAGGAGGUGCUGGCCCGAGGAGGGGACUCUGAAGCCUUCCAACCCCAUGAGGGAAGAUGGCCCAGGUCUUCCCGGAGGCGCGUCUCACACAGGGACAGGAGGCAGGAGGGCUGGCCCCGUGAGAGACGCCAAGGGGUCUCCCCUUGCCCUGACAGAGUCACUGGGCCCUAAACCCAUCACUUCUGAGCCACUGUCUAAGGCCCUAGCUCUUAAAGGUUCCACACCUCUAGCAGUGCCAUCACCACGGACCAAGCCUUCAGUCCAGGAGCCCUGGGGGAUAUCAAGGACCCCAACCGUACCAGCUGGGGACCUGUUAGCCAUAUGAUGAUGAGGCUGAUGACCAGGAGCAGGCCUCAGCCUCAGACCUGCGGACCGGACCUGUAUGCUGCAAUCAGUGACUACGAAGAAGAUGCCCAAGCCCUCUGAUGGUGGGGGCAGAGACAGGAAAAAAAGGAGUAAAUGCCACUGCUCUGGAACCAGCUGUCUAACCAGAUGCUUAGAAAACACCAGGAAGGGGAUGUCACACUGGGGUAGGGGUGUGCAUAAUGGUGGUCAUGCUACUUCCUGCCCCGCCCCCAGCCCCCGUGCUUCCCUUGUACCUACUGGGUCAUUUAUCAGAUUCUCAGCCCAGCCUUCAAGCUGCCCUCGGUCUGGCCCUGAGUCCCCUUCCGUCUUACUUCCCAGUGGUCUGCCUCAAGCACGCUCUCCUCCGAAAGCCUGGCUGGAUCAGGGCCUCUUCUUCCACCUGCCUCUCUUGCCUGGAAUAUCAUCCCUUUUCCUCACGUCAGCGUCAGUCUCAUCUGGCUUUGAAGUCCAGCUCGAAGCUUGGCCCCUCCGGGAAGGGGCUGAACCCUGGGACCUCCUCUCGGUACAUCAAGAACGGCCAUAAGUUCUUCGUAGUCCUCCCACCCAGAGGCAGAGUCUAUCUUCCCACCUUUUAAGUCUGGGCUGGUCUAAGACGUGCUUUGGGACGCCGGGUCAGACGAAAGCGACCCUGCCCACUGCAGCCAAGGCUGUGGGAGGCCGUGCCCCUUUCAGGCAUGCUCUCCGGGGACCCAGUGGUCGGUUCCCUGCAGCCAUGCGGCCUUGGUGACAAGUACCACCAACACUGUGCCAUCGGUGAGGUGAUCAAACGGUCCAAUUAAGUCAGCAAUCUGUCGCCUCAGUGAGACCAGCAGAACCACCUAGCCGUGUCCAGCCCCGAACUGUCAACCCAGAGAACUGUGAGCAAAUAAAUGGUGGUUGUACUGAGCUGCUACAUUUUGGGGUUUGUUACAGAGACCCACGUCCCCCAGGUCUCCCGUUUCCACAGGCAAACCCUGGCUGAAGUAGACGUAUAAAGGCCCAACCACGAUGUCAACCUGCUUAGGACUCAGAGGGGCUGGAGGGGCCUCGGAUCGGUGGGGCUGGCAGGUGCUUCUUUGGCUUCUGUCCCCUGUCUUCCACCGGACCCGUCCCAAGGCCCUCUUUAAAAACAUCCUGCCUGCCGAACUCCACCUGUACCCGCUUCCAGGGAAACCCACCCAGCGCGCAGCUCUAGAUGUGCCUUGGUUUCCCCACUGGCUUUCGGCCUACCCCAGGAAGCGCCCAGUAAAUAGGCGGGACUAAGGGAUGGUGGGUACAUGGGAAGAGAGAGGCGGAAGUGGGUAAACUGUUCACUGGGGGGGCUAGAGCUGUGCUCCCCAGUGUGGUCGCCCCUGGUCGUAUGUCACUAUGUGAAUUUGAAUUUAAAUUAAUUACAACUAAAUAAAAUUUAAAAUUCAGUUUCUUAAGUCACCGAUUGCGAGUAACCACCUGUGGGU